UCAGUCUUCAAUUCCUCCCAGCCCGUUACUAAGGAAACUGUGAGUUGAGGCGAGUUGAAGACUAAAA
rnacentral:pre_miRNA from 1 species